AUUGAACGCUGGCGGAAUGCUUUACACAUGCAAGUCGAGCGGCAGCGCGGGGCAAUCUGGCGGCGAGCGGCGAACGGGUGAGUAAUGUAUCGGAACGUGUCCUGUCGUGGGGGAUAGCCCGGUGAAAACCGGACUAAUACCGCAUACGAUCGAGAGAUGAAAGUGGGGGACCGCAAGGCCUCACGCGAUAGGAGCGGCCGAUAUCUGAUUAGCUAGUUGGUGGGGUAAAGGCCCACCAAGGCUUCGAUCAGUAGCUGGUCUGAGAGGAUGAUCAGCCACACUGGGACUGAGACACGGCCCAGGCUCCUACGGGAGGCAGCAGUGGGGAAUUUUGGACAAUGGGGGCAACCCUGAUCCAUCCAUUCCGCGUAGGUGAAGAAGGCCUUCGGGUUGUAAAGCUCUUUUGUCCGGGAAGAAACGGUUUUGGCUAAUAACCAAGACUACUGACGGUACCGGAAGAAUAAGGACCGGCUAACUACGUGCCAGCCGCCGCCGUAA
rnacentral:rRNA from 1 species